GCAAACUUGGUCAUUUAGAGGAAGUAAAAGUCGUAACAAGGUUUCCGUAGGUGAACCUGCGGAAGGAUCAUUAGAGAUUUAGUAAAUCUUAUCACUCUUGUGCAAUCUGCGAAGUCUGAUAUCCUUGGAGCGUGAACUCUCCAAGGAGGUUAUCAUUAUCAAUAUAUUUUUUCUUUACUCUUCUAUGUCUAAAUCAAUAAAUUAUAAUUGAAACAACUUUCAACAACGGAUCUCUUGGCUCUCGCAUCGAUGAAGAACGCAGC
rnacentral:misc_RNA from 1 species